CACCAGCACGGUGCUUAGAAAGGGAGGGGAUCUGGAAAAGACUUUUGUUGAGAAGAUGAGACCCAAAUAUAUAUAUCAUCAGGCACAACAGUCAUCAAAGAAAGGAAGAGAUCAAUAAUUUGGUUUGGGAAGAGAGAAGAAGGAAAGAAAUCUGUCAAGAUAAGAAAUACGCCAAGCAAUAAGGCAUAAGGUCCUUCGGCCACUAAGCAGCAGUGCAGGCUCUGCAUUCUGCUUUUGCAAGCUCCAGUGUCCUCGUCUGCAAACUCUGAGGGACAGCGCCCACCUCAGCUUUAGAAGGAAGGAUCGAAGCCAUCAGAAGAUGCAAAUAUGCAUAAUGGCUGCUCAGAAAAGGCCACCUCUGUUCAGGACCCAGCCAAAAUCUGGCACAGAUUCUAAGCCCAAGAAGGGCAUUCGGGAUGUAUGGUGUACUUCCUUCGAAGGGCUUUGUGGUGCUAAUGCAGGUUGACACUACACUGAGUCCUGGGUACAACUAUGGACAAAAUGCACAAGGGUCCUGCCCUCUUAGAUCUUGAAGUCUUGCAUGGAAGAUAGGAAAU